CCCCACGAGGUGAAGCCAGCCUAUGCCACCAGGUACGCCAUCACUGUCUGGUAUUUUGAUGCCAAGGAGCGGGCAGCAGCCAAAGACAAGUAUCAGCUAGCAUCAGGACAGAAAGGUGUCCAAGUACCUGUAUCACAGCCGCCUACGCCCACCUAGUGGCCAGUCCCAGAGCCGCAUGGCAGACAGCUUAAAUGACUUCAGGAGAAGCUGGGAGGAGGCAUUGUCACUUCCCACCAGGAUGCAGGACUUGGGGUUGAGGUGAGUCAUGGCCUCUUGCUGGCAAUGGGGUGGGAGGAGUACCCCCAAGUCCUCUCACUCCUCCAGCCUGGAAUGUGAAGUGACUCCCCAACCCCUUUGGCCAUGGCAGGCACCUUUUGGACUGGGCUGCCACUGCUUGGGCAGAGUAAAAGGUGCCAGGAGGAGCAUGGGUGUGGAAGUCCUGUCAGCCAAGAAAUAAAAGUUUACCUCAGAGCUGCA
rnacentral:lncRNA from 1 species